UGCAUGUCUAAGUACAUGCCGUAUUAAGGCGAAACCGCGAAUGGCUCAUUAAAUCAGUUAUGGUUCCUUAGAUCGUACUUUAUUACUUGGAUAACUGUGGUAAUUCUAGAGCUAAUACAUGCAGCAGAGCUCCGACCGUAAGGGACGAGCGCUUUUAUUAGACCAAGACCAAACGGGCUUUGCCCGUAAAGGUGGUGACUCUGAAUAACUUUGGGCUGAUCGCAUGGGCUUGACCCGGCGACGUAUCUUUCAAGUGUCUGCCUUAUCAACUGUCGAUGGUAGGUUACGCGCCUACCAUGGUUGUAACGGGUAACGGGGAAUCAGGGUUCGAUUCCGGAGAGGGAGCCUGAGAAACGGCUACCACAUCCAAGGAAGGCAGCAGGCGCGCAAAUUACCCACUCCCGGCACGGGGAGGUAGUGACGAAAAAUAACAAUACGGGACUCUUUUGAGACCCCGUAAUUGGAAUGAGUACACUCUAAAUCCUUUAACGAGGAUCUAUUGGAGGGCAAGUCUAAUGCCAGCAGCCGCGGUAAUUUUAGCUCCAAUAGCGUAUAUUAAAGUUGUUGCGGUUAAAAAGCUCGUAGUUGGAUCUCAGUCGCAGACGGGCGGUCCGCCUACCGGUGGUUACUGCCUGUUCUGGACAGUCAGCCGGUUUCCUUUGAUGAUCUUCACCGGUUGUCUUGGGUGACCGGCAACUUUACUUUGAAAAAAUUAGAGUGCUCAAGGCAGGCGUGACGCCUGAAUAAUGGUGCAUGGAAUAAUGGAAUAGGACCUCGGUCUUAUUUUGUUGGUCUUCGAGACUCGAGGUAAUGAUUAAGAGGGACAGACGGGGGCAUUCGUAUUGCGGCGCUAGAGGUGAAA
rnacentral:rRNA from 1 species